rnacentral:rRNA from 1 species
GACGAACGCUGGCGGCGUGCUUAACACAUGCAAGUCGAACGGAAAGGCCCUGCGUUUGUUGGUUUCUCGAUUGGCGCACGCGUGAGUAACACAUGAGUAUCCUCCCCUUGACUUUGGGAUAACUUUAGGAAACUGGGGCUCUUACCGGAUAGGAUCUCUUGCUGCGUGUUGUUGGUUGGUAAGUUUCGGCGUUUGGGGAUCGACUCGCGGCUUAUCCGCUUGUUGGUGGGGUAGUUGCUGACCAAGGCUUUGACGGGUAGCCGGCCUGAGAGGGGUAACGGGAACAAUGGGCCUGAGAGACGGCCCAGACGCGAACGGGAGGCAGCAGUGGAGAGUAUUGCAGAGUGGGCGGAAGCCUGAGACAGAGACGCCGCGUGCGUGAUGACCGCCUUUGGGUUGUAAACAGAUUUCGAAGGUGACGAAGAGGGAGUGACGGUAAUGGGUCAAGAAGCACCGGCUAACUACGUG